CACGUGGCUUCCGGUUGGCAGUGCUUUCGGCCGGUUGCUGUUUACGGUUUCCUUUCAGCAUCUCGUCUCGGCGACGUCGGCCAGGGGACCGUAGUGAUGGCGCUCAAACGUCGAACAGGCUCCAAGAACCCUCCGAUUUUCAGCCACGAAUUCGUCAUACAAAAUCAUGCCGACAUUGUGUCUUGCGUGGCCAUGCUUUUUGUCAUGGGACUCCUGUUCCAAGUCACCGCACCAUAUGCUUCGGUUUUCAUCGCCGUGCAUCACAACACCACCGACGGCAUGGAAACACAAGGGAUAGUGAACUACACGUAUGGUGCCAAGGAUAUCUGCCUGACCUUCUUCUACUUCCUCAUUGCCAUCGUCAUGCAUGCCAUCAUCCAGGAGUACCUGCUCGACUACAUCAAGAAGCACACCAAACUAAACCGCAAGAUGCACCUGUCCAAGAUGAAGCAUAGCAAGUUCAACGAGUCGGGUCAGCUGCUCAUCUUCUGCCUUGCCUCUUUCCUCUGGGGUGCCGAGAUCAUCCGCAAGGAAGGGUACCUGCCCAGCAUCAACAAGCUAUGGGAGGGCUACCCCCACAACGAGAUGUCGUUCAUGUUCAAGUUCUACUUCAUCAUCCAGCUGGCUUAUUGGCUGCACUGCUACCCUGAGCUGUACUUCCAGAAGACCAAGAAGGACGAGAUGUCUGCACGCAUCACCACAGCAACGCUUCCUCUCAUCUUCUUCCUCGUUUCCUACGUUCUCAACUUCUCGAGGAUAGCGCUGUGCCUUUCGGUGAUGCACUACCUGGUGGAGACGGUGUUCCAUGCCUCCCGGCUGCUGCUCUUUGCCGAGCGCACUAAGGCUGCUGACUAUGGGUAUGCGGUGUGGAAUGUGCUGUUCGUGCUGGUGCGGCUGGCGUCCAUCACGCUGUCCGUGCUCACUUUCUGGUAUGGCCUGGCCCAGCAAGAGAAUGCGGCCCUGCCCAUUGGCCUGGUUACAGGCAACUUCAACACCAAGCUCAUCAGGGUGAACUGCACCGUGGCGGUGUGCCUUCUUCAGGCGUGGAUGAUGUGGAACUUUGUCAACUUCCACCUGCAACUGCGGAGGGAACGGGCCGAGGCCCAGCAGAGCUCGGGCCCAGCCGCCAAGAAGAAGGCCGUCGGCCGCAAGGACCGCAAGGCUGCCAAGAAAGAUGAAUAACAAUUGUCCAAAUUGUCUAGAAUUCUCGAAACGCAGUUGAUGUUACGGAGCCACCAAGCGAGCAGCAGACGAGGAUGUUAACGAGCUUCCCGAGGUGGACCAGAACGCUAAGAAGGAGCUCCGUUCUCGCCACCUCGCCAGUCCUAAGGCCAAGAGGAGCUAAUCUCUGCCCCCUUAUGCAAUGUUUUCUUUUUUUUUCUUCUUCUUCUCUGUCCACUACUCUCAAGCUCUUUUAUCUUUUGUUCUUUCUUUUUAUCCUGCCUUUUCACAUCGGUGGUCUCUUCGAUUGGACCUUUAGAACUGGCUGCAAUAGCGGUCUCUUUCGGCUGUUCAGCACUUCCAAGGCAUCAUGAAGACAUGCUGUAUGUGUGUUUGAUCCAAUUCAAAAGCAAAGAACACGUGUUCUGCCCCAGUGCGGGAAAUUCCCAGUGAACUGUACCAGUGUGUGAUUGUGAAACACAAGUUGUAGCUAGAAAGUGCUCAGGCUUUCCAGCUUGUAGCGUCCGCAUUGUAACCCUUGGGUCGAAACUGUGCGCAUGCCUCUUAAACUGCAGCAAAGCUAUACUCUCAAUUUAAAAGGGCCAGACAAUGCUGGCAGGAGCUGGACUAGUAGUUAUUUCUCUCUCCCUAAAAUAACUGUUCCCAGUGUUGCUUUUUUAUUUUGAUUUGUGAGGAACAUAGUGAGGGAGUAUCUUGAACAAGGGCUAUUGCCUUCGACCACUUUGUAUUGCAGUGUCUUUACAAAAUUUAACAAAAAGAUACUGCAUACAAGCAAGACAUUGCACUACUUGCAGCUUAGCACGAAACAUCCUAGUGGCAAACAACCAUCGCAAGGUGAACAAAGGCAGACGAAGGAAAAUGGUUGCACCAAAGUAUCUCGUAUUUCUACCAUUGUUGUCUUUAACUAGGCUCUUGAACAACUGAACUGGAAGAGGCUCAAAAAGUGACAGCAAGGAAGCACAUGCUUAAGGCUCUUACGGUGCUUUCACAUGUUGCCUUCUGCUGUGCCAUUUUGUUGUUUGCUGUGCUCAGUACUGGCUAUGAGCCUGUUUGUUUGUUCUUUCUGCACUGUGCCUCCCUGGUGAAUGACUCGAGGAAGAGGACACGCAGGUCCUCAUUCACUCUAACACACUUCCAGCAGACGUGCCUUUCUGCUCACAUGCAGUGGUCACCCUUGAACUGUGCUUGAACAAGGAAGGUUCUAUGGUAUCCGCUAAUCGGAGGGACUGCUCUCGCCUACUUCUGUCUGUUCAGUUCUUCUGUUUAUAUUUUCUCCUUUUUUUUUACCGUUCCUUCCUUUCUGCUUUUCCAUUUUGAGAGGACCAUGUGCUGCAGUGACAGGAGCCCUUAGUUCACUCAUUUUUAUGCAAAAUAUGUUCUUACCACCACCACUGUGUCGUUUCCUUCCUUUUCUGUCUUUCUAUUGACUAUUCUUUCUCUCCUUCUUUCCCCACUUCAUUUUCGACUCCUCUUGUAAAGCCUGGUGAUCUACUAUACUCCAUUUCAUACGUAGCAGGCAAUGUUAUGAAUGCUAGAGGGAUUUUUAGGUCAUAUGCAUGACCUAAAACUAGUGCAUCAAAUAUGUAGGCGUGUCAUUCAAUGUCGUAUCAAGACCAACUUUUGUGUCGACAAAUAGGCCUUAUUACGUGGAAGUCUUUCAUAAAUGUGCACCUCUUUGCCACUGGCCGAGUGGAGUGACACGUUUCGUCGACCAGCGACCACAGCGCACUGAUGACAGUAGCAGCCAAUACAUAGUAUGUCGCACACUGGAAGCACGAAAAUGCACAAAUAAUACGUGAUUCGACGUAACCUCGUGUCGACAAAUUCUAGUUCUAAUAUAUACAAAGUAAUUAUUCUAUGGGAAGGGUCUGCAGACCAAUGACAACUGCACUGCAAAAUUGCGUAGUGCGAGAUUUCAUUGACAUGCACUGCAUGCGUAGCUUCAGCAGCAUUGCCUGCUAAGUAUGUAACGUGGAGUGUGCUGUGCCGCCCGUUCACCUUGUAGUCCUGUCUGCUCGAAGCAUACACACCACCCACAUGCUCCACUGAGUGAGAGUUACAAAACAAUCUUUGCUUUGUAAUAAAAUGCCUUUUUUUUUUCCA
rnacentral:misc_RNA from 1 species